AUUUGGGGAGAUUAAGCAGAAAAAAAAAAUAAUAAUGGCCCAAAGCUAGGCUUAGUAUUAAAAUCUUCCUUCUUUGAAAUUCAAAUAGAUAUCUAAGAUUUCCAAGUUGUUUCUGCCUCCCUAGCAAAUGACUUCAAAAGGCAACCCCUCCCAUAUAAAUGACUUUUUUUUUUCCUUAAAAAGGUUUACUACAUCAUCCUUAGUCACCUUUUGAUAAGUAAAUGAAAAGAAGUUAUGUUGAAGUUUGUAUAUAAACUACUAUAUAUUUUUUUGGCUUCGUACCACAACCAAGAAAGAGAAUUCUUGAAUUGAUCAGCUGGUUCCUGGUCUAAGAGAUAGGAAUAACUUCUAACCAGGAAGCUAAUAUUUAAUGACCAAUUUCUAUGACCAGGCAAAUGCCUUAACGUGCAUUAAUUCAUUAACCCUCGCGACCAUUACAUCAGACACACACUGUUAUUCCUAAUUUACAGUGAAGGCAACUAAGGGCACAGAGAGGUCGAAAAACUUGUCUGAGGUCACGUGUUACUGACUUUCUCGUCAGUACUUGGCAGAGCCUGGAUUCCAGCAUUCACAGUCUGGCUGCAGAGCCUGUACUCUUGGCCACCACUCCAGACUGCCUCUUAAACUCUAUAAUCAAGAAAGAAUUAAUGCUCGGGGCAGUCAGGGAAGACUGCAGAGAGGAGGUGGCAUUUGAACUGAUUUCUAAAGAAUGAGUAGAAGUUCCCUAAGUAGAGAAGAGAAGGCAUGUAUGGAUGCCCAGCAGUAGGAAAGGGUUGCGUGUUGUGGGGAUGGUUGUGAAGGGAAAGUGACUGGAUGAGACUAGAAAGGGUGGGUUGGAAUCAGAUUGAACUGACUUAUGUUCUGUUCAGAGAGCCUGGGCUUUCUAUUAUAGAACAAUUCCGGAACACAAAUCUGGGCUGGAUAUCUCAGCAUCAAGGGGGGAGUUCGUUAAAAAGGCAAAUUUCUAAGCUCCCCUCUCGGUUAUUCUGGUUCAGAAAGUUUAGGAUGAGGACUAGGAACCCUGGGGGUCUGAUGGACAGGCAUGCUUGGGGACCUCUGCUACAGGCUGCGAGGAAGUGUAGAGACGUUUAAGCAGGGGUGUGGUGCAAUAAGGACAGCAUUUUGCUUUAAAAUGGAAAUUAGUGAAGCUAGUGUAAUAUAUAUGGGAGAUGUGGAGGCAAGCAGAUCAAUUAGGGAGCUAUUCCAAAAAUUCAGAAAAGAGGUAAGAUCUUGAAUUAAGACUGUGGCAUUGUUGGUAGAAUUCAGGGGACUGAUUAAAAAGAUAUUUCAGAGUAAGAAUUGAUAGGUAAGUAAGCAGGAAGGAGAUAGAAAAGAGAUCAAGGAUUGUGUCAGGAUUUAUAAGCUGAGCAAAGGGGUGGAUAACCAUUCUUUCCCUGAGCGAUGAGCAAAAUCAUUUUGCCAGAGUAACUUUACUUAUUUGAAUCUGUGCAGUUGAGAUAAUAUAAAUGGUGUGUAUCAGAUUAUAUGAGUUGAGGCCGGGCAGAAUGUUCAGUAUAGGAAACAGAAACUCAAGGUAGUUCAUAAAGGCUCCAAGGAGAGGAAGCUUAGUGGUUCUGUCAGAAGAAUCUCUGCCUGGCCAAGGGCAGAGAAAGUGGAGAGGAAGGAUUGGAUUCAAACAUGACCUGUCAGCUUCUUGGGGCAGUGCUGGCCACACCUCUGUGUUGUACACUCUGCUGCUGCUGGAGGAAAUUAACCCUCCACCUCUUUGCCUGAGGCCAAAUGCCAUCCUGUUCCUCUACCCGAGGCCUCAGGCAACACCCUCAACCUUGAUGAUCCAACCUCCCGCCAGGUGCGGGGUGGUGUGAAGAUCCCAUCAGAGAGCGUGUCGCUUGUGCGCAGCACUUGCUUCUUGCUCAUGCUGAGUGCCUUUUGCAGCUUCCAGCACACAACAGCACCCUUGGCUACCCAACCACCUAAGCAGCGGUCUGUGUGCAGCCCUGGUGAGGCCAUGUGGCCUUUUCCACCUGAUUAGAGCGGAGCAGGUGCCUGAGCCAAGCUGGAACCCAUCCAAGUCCCAUCCCCUGGAAUCUGGAAUUGGCAACAAGAGAAAGAUGAUUAGUCUCCUCACAUGUGGGGCGUUAACAUGUAAAUUCAAGGGCUUUGAGCAGCCGUGUGAUAUGCCACGCAGACUGGAAAACACAGAAAGCUGGUUCAAGGAAAGAGGAAUUAUGCAGACCUGUGGAGAGAAGAGAGGUGAGACUCGCGAGAGGGAGACGGCUGCUCGAGUCUCUCAUGGCUUCUCAGUGUCGAGGCCCAGCCCUUCUCGAAGCUGCUCUGGGUUUCUUAAGGCACCCAUGUAUCCCUAUCAUGAAGUCAUUUUCUCCCUCUCUCUUCUUAAGGUAGUUUAGGUUAAUUUCUAUUUCUGGGAGCCAGUACUUCCUGCUCUCACUUUCCUUCUUGGUGUUGUCAGAAGAUAUGCUGCCAGCACGUGCUGUCAGGCACACCAGCCUUACCAUCUUUGAAAAGUACUUAGUCUUUAGACGACAUACUGGGAUUCAGUGAUUGGAGGCGCAGCUCAGGCCUUCAUAUGUCCAGGCCUUUGGAUUGAACAUUACCAGAAUCAGCACUUUAGAGUGGGAAACGCAGUGGUAUGCAUUCGAACACAAAUUUUUAAGUCCCAGGUACAUAUCUGGUAUAUCUCUAAACACUUAGUUUAAGGUUCUGAUUUUUACUAUUCUUUCCCCUCCCCUUUUCAAAUGAUGGUUGCCAAGUUUUGUAGCCGCUUGAUGAAUAUGGAGAAAAUGGCACUUAUUUAGUGUCUUAGUCUGUUUGGCCUGCUGUAACAAAAAUACCACCUACCUGGUGGCUUAAACAGCAAAACAUUUCUUUCUCCCAGUUCUGACGUCUAGGAGGUCCCACAGUCUGGGCUCUGGCAGAUUUGGGGUCUGGUGAGGGCUUGCGCCCUGCUCAUAGGCGACCGUCUGCGUGCUGUGUUCUACGUGGUGUGAGCAAGGGAGCUCUUUGAGAUGUGUUUGAUAAGGUCACUAAUUCCACUCAUCCGGGUUCCACCCUCGUGAUAGAAUCACCUCCCAAAGGCCCCACCCCCUAGUGUCACGUUACCUUGGGCGCUGGAACUUAACACAAGAAUUUUGGAAGAGACUAACAUUCAGUCUAUAGCAUUCAGGACUCAGGAUUGCUUUAAAUGCAUCUGUGCAGUUGCUUAGUGGUUGUUUAAAAAAGAGACCACUAAAAACAACCUUUGGGUAAAGGGGAUAUCCUCAUGGACUCAAGGAUCAAUGAUCUCAAUCAUCUGUAAAGUUGGCGUCUUCUACAUGGAACACUGUGUGGAAUUAAAAUAUUUACUAAAAUGCCUACCGGUAAGUCACUAUCUUAACCCUUAGAAAUGAAAACUAUUUUCAGAUUCUUAUAAUGAAAUCUUUUUUUUUUUUUUUUUUACAAAUAAUGCUUUUUUUCAUGUUGCUGUUUCAUAUACGGAAUUAUUUUGACAGAUACUAAGUGUAACCACUUCAAAAGGGUUUUCAUAUUUGUAAGAAAUAACAAACCAUAUGCCAUCUUGCAGAAGCCUUGAUUUGGAAAGAACAUGGCUCUUGGCCAGCAAUUAAUUAGCCGCUCUUUUGUUUUGGCCAUAUUGUGGUGCUGUAUAGGUGUGACAUUUUCUGUCCUCACCAGAUAGAAAUAUUCCCGUGUGUCUACUAUAUUAUUAGGGAAAGCUCAAUUUUGGUGUUAUUUUUCUACCAAGUAAUAGGAAUUCUAAGUGCAAGUAAUCAAAGUGCAAGAAGAAUGGGGAAAAACUAUUGGGAUAAAAUGGGAAUGUGAAUUUGGCACUGGAUAGCUGAAAAGUGACUCCUGUCACUUUGGUCCAUUUAAAAUUGCCUCAUUGUUAAGAGAAAGAUGGAAGCUGAACAUCUGUAGCAGAUGUCUGUCGCUAGAGAACAUCGAAUGAGAAGAGAUUACUUAAUUACGUGUUGGGUAUAGUGGGACACCCUCUUGUCAGAAGGACAGAAUAAUUAGCCUGACUAAUCGAUUUCCUGUGUUUCUCUUGAAUCCAAUUGAGAUAUUCUUAAAUUAUGUUGAAAUACAGAUCUUCUCUGAUACCAGAUUGUGUGGGCUCAGUUAGGUUACUCGGUGUUUCUCUCAUCAUGUAAGUGCACUUGCUUCUCAUCAGAGCAGAAUUAACUUUGUAUGCAGGAUAUAGUAGUUAAACAGAGUUAUGGGCCUCGGGUCUAAAGAUUGCAAUCAGGGAAGGCUGUCCUCAACAGAGAGCUUCCUUUCACCCGUUUUGACCAUUGUCACUGCUUCCCCUCAUUCAUCCUCGUUGCUGUUGGUCUUAGCAAGAGACCCAGAGACACUAUUGCUUUGCUUACAAAUAAGGUUUUCUGUUUGAUCUUUUCAUUUUGUAAGAGAUAAAGCACCUAAAUCUUAAAAGGGUGCUUUCUUUUUUAAUGAACAGCCAUGGCUCUGGGAAUUUCAAAAGCUCUAUACUGUUUUGUUCAUUCAGUAAAAGGAUUCACAGCAGACAUUGUGGUCUGAAUACUUGGGUUUUUUCUUAACGGAAAAUUAUUUCCCUAAGAUUUAAACAUGAUUAAAACGUAGAAUUCUUCUGCACUCUGCUGCAAACCCUAACAAAUAAAACCAAACCGCACGUGUAUAUUUUGGAGUCGUUUCCUGAACCCUAGCCUUAGCUGUUGAGUCUCUCCUCCUUCACAGUGAGUUCUGGUGGCAAGUGCUGGGCUGUGGACACCUGCACGCACCCGCCCACGCUCGCCCUGCUGUGUGUUGGUACAGUCCGGUGCUUAUCUUUAUCCUUGGGGAAGUGAAAGCAUAUCAAAGUGCUUUGCAAAUAAUUGUAGGUGGGUGCAGUGCAGAGAGGGUUAACCAUCCGGCAUUUUCAGUGGCUUAAUUAGGCUCUGGCAGAGAGCCAGGAUGAGGAGAAAAUGGGACAACCGCAGAAACCAGUGGGUUUCAGCAUCUUGGCAAGAUCGAGAGCAUUCAGCAGCAGUCUGUGCUUGUGCCUACCUGUUGUGGGAAAAGUGAGAGGCGGUUCAGACGAGGGACAGAGCGGCCGGGCAUUUUCCCAUCCAGCUUUCCUAUUGUCUUUGUCUCUUUAAAAGGGAGGCAGGAGUGCCUGUUAUUAAGCACGACCUCUGCGUCAUUCACCGCGCAGGGAAGAGCCCUGUGGACCGCACCGGCCGAGCUGCGUCCCCGUGAGGCAGGAUGUGGUCGGGCUGGAGGUUUGGGAGUGACCCACCGGAGGUUUGGCAGGCUCGGCAGCUUCAGUCCGUGUUGAGCUCAGUGGUUUUUCGAGACAGGAAAGGACUCUGGUUGUUGUUGUUAUUGAUAAAAUUAAUACUGAUCAUAAGAUUAUGAGCCUUGGAAAUAAAACGUUAUUAUAAAUGUGUUAUUUUUAAAAACUCUAUACUAGUUUUGUGAAGUGUACAAAUCUAAAAGAUGAAGGACUGUGAUUCAUUAUUUUCUACUUGUCUUACAUUAGCUGAGAUAAAUUGAUUUGCUGUUUGGACAGUUCAUAACUCGAGUUUUUAGGACUAAAGCUUCUAUAGUAAUUUUCUCUUAUACCAAAAGCCCAUAUUGAAAUGUGCUUGAAUUUCUCUCUGCUCAAAAUUAUUUUUGGGUAAAAUGAUUUCAGAUGGGGAAACUAUUUUGCAUUAGAAAUCUUCUGUCCCCUUUAUUUAGAGUUAGACUAUUUAAUCUUUCAGGAUGAGAUCCAACUUUAGAAAACUAUGUACAAAAAAUAUAUAUAACUUAAAAUCUUAUAGUUCUUAGAAAAAACUUUGAGUCUUUUUAUUGAGUAUAGCCAAUUUUCCUAUAACUCUUAAAAAAGUAGAAUAUCCUGAGAUAACAAUUCUAUUUUUUUUCAUGUUUUAUAGCUUUUGUAUAACAAAGAUCUCCAGCCCUUAGCCUGUGACCUGUUUUUUGAAGCAUUGCUUAAUGUAGUACUAUUUCACUACCAUAAGAAAAUUAGCACUAUUUUGGAGCUGUUUUCCUGCUAUAAUUAAAGUCAGAUUAACAAUAGAAUGUCGGUAGUCCAGUCAGCUUUGCUGCAGUUGAAAUAACACACUCCUGUACAUUCUAAUGCUUUAUAAGCUCACAUGUGACAACAGGACAGAAUUUCAUUUUAAAAUCUGUUUUGUAGCUCCCGUUGUUAAAAUGUGUACUGCUGUUAUCUACACCACACAUUUAUUUCGGUAUUUAUUCAUUCAUAGACAGUCUUGUAGUAUUUCCUUAACUCAUAUAGUCUCCAAAACUAGAUCGUAACCCCACGUCUAUGCUGAAGGCAGUGCUGGUACAGAGACCCCCAGUGAACCCUCAUUAACUUCAGUUCUGUAAUUUGCUUGACUCCACUGAGCUGAGCAAACCAAAGUAGUUUUGGUAUGCUUGGGGGUUCAAUUUGAAACAUUUCUUAGAAGAUCUGAUAAAAACUCACCCUGAUUCUUUAUACUGGAAUCCGGUGUCUGUGGUGUUGUGCACGUGUCCCAUUUGUCAGUGUCUCGGCUGUGUGGACAGCAUGGAGUAACGGGCAGCUGUCAGCCUCUCCAUCAGUUGGUGUUGAUCCCUGCCCAUCCGCGAAGACUCCGACCUUCCUUUUUGCAUUCAAGAAAAACUCGACAAAAUCAGUUACUGACUCUCUCUUAGUAAAUGUCUUUAAAAAAUUAUGUACCAAGUAAAACUAACUAAAAUAAAAAUUAUUUUUAAAAUAGUCCUCGAGUUCCUCUGAAUCUCAUCCUUUUCUCCUUCACUCAGGGAGCUCUUUUUAUGUUAUGCUGCCUGCAGGAGAUUUUCAGAAGUAAUGAGGACACGUUUCUCUUCUAGUUCUUACUUUUGAAAACACUAUAAAAGAUAAGAAGUCGUAAUCUAACGUGGAUGAACCCUGAAAACAUUAUGCUAAAUGAAAGAAGCCAGUCACAAAAGACCAUAUAUUGUAUGAUUUUAUUUCCAGGAAAUGUCCAGAAUAGGCAACUCCAUAGCUACGGAAAUAGACUUGUCAUUGCCAGGGGCCAUGACGGGAGGCACGAGGAGAGACUGUAAUGGGGAGAGGGUUUCUCUCUGGGGCGAAGAAAAUGUUCCAGAAUUAGAUUGUGGUGAUAGCCGGACAGCUCUGUGAAUAUACUGGGAAUCACUGAAUUACAUACUUUGAAGGGGUAAAUUGUGUGAUAGUGAAUUAGAUCUCAAUAAGUCUGUUUUAAAAAGCUGUAGUAAUGGCAAAGACUGUAGAUUUUUAAACAAUGAUUAAUAUUCUAUGCUUGCAGUUAACCGCUUCCAGAGUACCCGCUUUAGAGUAAUAUGUUAUGUCUGAACUAAACCGUAAGCCCAGCUUGACUUUAACAGCUUGUAAUGAUCCCCACGGUAUAGCAGUGUUGAUCUCUACGGUCCUGAACGUUGACUGUUUGAAAGACUCUGGCUUCCUGGGCCUCAUUAUCAGCAGAGUUAAAAUGCAUUUACUCAGCAAGUGUUUGUUGAUUUUCUAGCGUAUACCAGGUACUGUCCCAGAUGUUAAAGAAACAGAGAUGACCAGAAGUGUAGCUCCUGUCCGCCAAGUCUCAUCAUUAGUACAGUGGACGGACAAAAGCAAAAGCACACCCCGAAAAUGCGGCAGUGUCGUACUUGAUGUCAUAAAGAUGUGGCUAUUCUUUUACAGCCUACCAGGAUUUGGGGGAUGGGGAAAGAAAGUACUGUGCCCUGCCUCAAGAUCUUUCUUUGAGUUUCUUCAAGGACAGGACUUUGGUCUAAGUUGGAGGAAAAAGAGAAUGUGCCAGGGCGACAAACGCCUUCUAGGCAGAGAGGUGAAUAGCUUAUGCCUGGGCACAGGGGUCAGGGGAGAACAAACAAGACAAGCCCAGACCAUUCCGGAACUGCAGGUGGCCUGGGUCGCAUCUGAGCUCAGGUUCACACGGCAGCUCCAGCAAAAGGAGAGCUGUGCCGGGAGGGCCCCUGCACGCCCGUUUCCAGGCUUUGGAGGCUCUGACGAGUCCUGUAAAGAGCAACUCUGAGAACUGUUCAUUUAUUAUUUUUAAUCUAGUUAAUUUAUAAUCACCCACUAUGAGUGCAGAAAGGAAUUAGGAAGUAUUCAGUCCAGGCUUUCACGUUUCAGAUGAGCAAACUAAGGUCCAGAGAACUCUGUCCACAGUCAGAUAGUGUGAGGCACACCCAGGACAGAAGCCUAGAACUCUUGAGUCCCAUACCACCAGCUUUGGUCCUGUAUUGCUUGCCUUUGGGAAAUCAGAGGCUGAAAGGUUUAGUAGCACUUGUAAAUAUUAGCUAUUUUUAAUUUUCAGAGACAUUUCUAAUACUGUCCAGUGAUAACUAAGUACUAAAAAAUUAGCCUCCUUACCUGUGGAAUGUCGACUUUACACAUAGGACAAAUGUUUCCACUGAAGCCUUUGUUUUGCAAUUUGAUUAGAAUCAUAGAUCUGUAAGCUAUAUGAUUGUUUUUGUUUUAAGCCUCUAAGUUUUGAAGUGAUUUCUUAUAUAGCAGUCGACAACUGGCACAGAUUUUAGUACGUGGAAGUGGAAUGCUGCUAUAAAAUAACCUGAAAAGAUCGCAUCGCCUUUGGGAACCAGGCAGUGGACUGAAGCUUGUAAGGACCUUGAUAGGUUAGCAGAAACCUAAAGGUCAUCAAGAAGCCUGUCCGUGAGGGCUUAAACGUUAUUGGAAAUUGAAGGAAAGGAUUUAUUUGUUAUAUAGUAGAGGAAAGUUUGGCAACAUAAUCACCUGCAAUAAAACGGAACACAGAAGAUGCACCUAAUGAAUCAGAUGCUCUAGCUAAGAUUUCCAGGCAGAGGUUCAAAGUGCCACCUGGUUUUUCCUUCCUGUCUGUAAUAAAAUGAGGAGAGAAGAGAGAUGAGCUAAAAUACAAGAUGUUAAAUAUAAAUUAGCCAUGACUCACUGGGUUCAAAAAUCAAUUUACUUGGGGCCAGCCUGGUGGCACGGUGGUUAAGUUCACACGUUCUGCUUCGGCGGCUUGGCGUUCGGUGGCUCG